GACGUAGGGCGCGAGCGUUGUCCGGAUUUAUUGGGCGUAAAGAGCUCGUAGGCGGCUUGUUGCGUCGACUGUGAAAACCCGCGGCUUAACUGCGGGCCUGCAGUUGAUACGGGCAGGCUAGAGUUCGGUAGGGGAGACUGGAAUUCCUGGUGUAGCGGUGAAAUGCGCAGAUAUCAGGAAGAACACCCGUGGCGAAGGCGGCUCUCUGGGACGGUACUGACGCUGAGACGCGAAAGCGUGGGGAGCGAACAGG
rnacentral:rRNA from 1 species